CAAGUUCAAGAUGAAAACUAUUACAAUUCUUUUGAUCGUUUGUCUUGCAUUAAAUUGCUGCAGCAUCGAUACUCUCAGCGACGACGGUUCAGUAAGAGAUGGACCAGUACAACGAAGUAAAUUUGGUUCAUCACAACCGCGUGGAGUAAAACCAGCUAAUGGACAACGGUUGGGUGCCUGUACCUCCAAUUAAACUAAAUCCACCAAAUAAUUUUGGCCCACCUGUUUUAUUCAAACCGGCUUUAUUUUCCGAGAAAGCAAGAUAAAACAUAGGUAUUUCAACACAAAACAAUCUCAAGAUUGCAAUAAAAAAUAGAAAAAAUAUCGAAAAC